rnacentral:rRNA from 1 species
GGUGUGACAGCGUGCCUUUUGAAGAAUGAGCCUGCGAGUUAGCGAUAUGUGGCGAGGUUAACCCGUGUGGGGUAGCCGUAGCGAAAGCGAGUCUGAAUAGGGCGAUUCAGUCGCAUGUCCUAGACCCGAAGCGAAGUGAUCUAUCCAUGGCCAGGUUGAAGCGACGGUAAGACGUCGUGGAGGACCGAACCCACUUAGGUUGAAAACUGAGGGGAUGAGCUGUGGAUAGGGGUGAAAGGCCAAUCAAACUUCGUGAUAGCUGGUUCUCUCCGAAAUGCAUUUAGGUGCAGCGUUGCGUGUUUCUUGCCGGAGGUAGAGCUACUGGAUGGCCGAUGGGGCCCAAAAGCUUACUGACGUCAGCCAAACUCCGAAUGCCGGUAAGUGAGAGCGCAGCAGUGAGACGGUGGGGGAUAAGCUUCAUCGUCGAGAGGGAAACAACCCAGACCACCAACUAAGGUCCCAAAGCGCGUGCUAAGUGGGAAAGGAUGUGGAGUUGCACAGACAACCAGGAGGUUGGCUUAGAAGCAGCCACCCUUGAAAGAGUGCGUAAUAGCUCACUGGUCAAGUGAUUCCGCGCCGACAAUGUAACGGGGCUCAAGCACGCCACCGAAGUUGUGGCAUUGAUAUUUUUGGUAGGCCUUCGUGGUCCAGCCGUAUUGAUGGGUAGGAGAGCGUCGUGUGGCGAGUGAAGCGGCGGUGUAAACCAGCCGUGGACGCUACACGAGUGAGAAUGCAGGCAUGAGUAGCGAAAGACAUGUGAGAAACAUGUCCUCCGAAAGACCAAGGGUUCCAGGGUCAAGCUAAUCUUCCCUGGGUAAGUCGGGACCUAAGGCGAGGCCGACAGGCGUAGUCGAUGGACAACGGGUUGAUAUUCCCGUACCCGCGAAGAACCGCCCAAGACAAUCCAGUGGUGCUAAGAGUCCUAACCCGGACGACUGAUUCCCUUCGGGGAUGAUGGGUCCGGUCUAACGCUCGACCCCAUGCUGGUGCGUUUAGCGUAUUAACAGGUGUGACGCAGGAAGGUAGCCUAUGCCGGGCGAUGGUUGUCCCGGUGUAAGUGCGUAGGCUGAGAGAUAGGCAAAUCCGUCUCUCGUGAAGGCUGAGACACGAUACGGACCCGUAAGGGAUAGUAGGUGAUCCUAUGCUGCCAAGAAAAGCAUCGACGCGAGGUUCUAGUGGCCCGUACCCCAAACCGACUCAGGUGGUCAGGUAGAGAAUACUAAGGAGAUCGAGAGAAUCGUGGUUAAGGAACUCGGCAAAAUGCCCCCGUAACUUCGGGAGAAGGGGGGCCUGAGGCGUAUUAGGACUUGCUCCGAAAGCGUUUGAAGGCCGCAGAGACCAGUGGGAAGCGACUGUUUACUAAAAACACAGGUCCGUGCCAAGUCGCAAGACGAUGUAUACGGACUGACGCCUGCCCGGUGCUGGAAGGUUAAGAGGAACGGUUAGCCGCAAGGCGAAGCUGAGAAUUUAAGCCCCAGUAAACGGCGGUGGUAACUAUAACCAUCCUAAGGUAGCGAAAUUCCUUGUCGGGUAAGUUCCGACCUGCACGAAUGGCGUAACGACUUCCCAGCUGUCUCAACCGCGAACUCGGCGAAAUUGCAUUACGAGUAAAGAUGCUCGUUACGCGCAGCAGGACGGAAAGACCCCGUGACCUUUACUACAGCUUGGUAUUGGUGUUCGGUGUGGCUUGUGUAGGAUAGGUGGGAGACUGUGAAGCUUGGACGCUAGUUCAGGUGGAGUCAUUGUUGAAAUACCACUCUGGUCACUCUGGAUAUCUAACUUCGAACCGUAAUCCGGUUCAGGGACAGUGCCUGGUGGGUAGUUUAACUGGGGCGGUUGCCUCCCAAAAAGUAACGGAGGCGCCCAAAGGUUCCCUCAACCUGGUUGGCAAUCAGGUGUCGAGUGUAAGUGCACAAGGGAGCUUGACUGUGAGACUGACAAGUCGAGCAGGGACGAAAGUCGGGACUAGUGAUCCGGCAGUGGCUUGUGGAAGCGCUGUCGCUCAACGGAUAAAAGGUACCUCGGGGAUAACAGGCUGAUCUUGCCCAAGAGUCCAUAUCGACGGCAUGGUUUGGCACCUCGAUGUCGGCUCGUCGCAUCCUGGGGCUGGAGUAGGUCCCAAGGGUUGGGCUGUUCGCCCAUUAAAGCGGUACGCGAGCUGGGUUUAGAACGUCGUGAGACAGUUCGGUCCCUAUCCGCUGCGCGCGCAGGAAAUUUGAAAGGAUCUGACCCUAGUACGAGAGGACCGGGUUGGACGAACCUCUGGUGUGUCAGUUGUUCCGCCAGGAGCACCGCUGAUUAGCUACGUUCGGGAUGGAUAACCGCUGAAAGCAUCUAAGCGGGAAGCCGGCCUUAAGAUGAGAUUUCCAUGCCUUCGGGCGAGAGGCUCCCAGCCAGACUACUGGGUUGAUAGGCCGGAUGUGGAAGAGAGGACGAAAGACUCUCGGAGCUGACCGGUACUAAUAAGCCGAUAAUUUGAUAAC